CAAAGGUAGCAUAAUCAAUAGUCUUUUAAUUGGAGGCUUGAAUGAAAGGUUUGACGGAAAGAAUACUGUCUCCUCAGUUUAUAUUGAAUUUAACUUUUGUGUGAAAAGGCAUUAAUGAUUUAGUGGGACGAUAAGACCCUAUAAAACUUUACAUAUGUUAUAUUAUCUUAUAGAGUUUAUUAGUGAUUAUAAGGUAAUUGAGUGUGUUUUGCUGGGGCGGCAUGAAUAUAAUUUGUAACUGUUCAAAAAAUUAAAUAUUAAUAAGUAGAUUUUGGUCCUUCAUUGAGGAGAGAAGAGUAAGUUACUUUAGGGAUAACAGCAUAAUUUUUCUUGAGAGUUCGUAUCGAAGGAAGUAGUUGUGACCUCGAUGU
rnacentral:rRNA from 1 species